rnacentral:rRNA from 1 species
AUUGAACGCUGGCGGCAGGCCUAACACAUGCAAGUCGAGCGAGCGGCGGACGGGUGAGUAUUGUCUGGGAAACUGCCUGAUGGCGGGGGAUAACUACUGGAAAAGGUAGCUAAUACUGCAUACCCUCACAUGUGUCCCGCUGGGAUUAGCUAGGAGGUGGGGUAACGGCUCACCUAGGCGACGAUCCCUAGCUGGUCUGAGAGGAUGACCAGCCACACUGGAACUGAGAAACGGUCCAGACGCCUACGGGAGGCAGCAGGGGGGAAUAUUGCACAAGGGGGGAAAGCCUGAUGCAGCCAGGCCGAGUGUGUGAAGAAGGCGUUCGGGUUGUAAAGCACUUUCAGCGGGGAGGCGUUACCCGCAGAAGAAGCACCGGCUAACUCCGUGCCAGCAGCCGCGGUAAUAC